rnacentral:rRNA from 1 species
AACGAACGCUGGCGGCAGGCUUAACACAUGCAAGUCGAACGCAUCCUUCGGGAUGAGUGGCAGACGGGUGAGUAACACGUGGGAACCUACCCAAAGGUACGGAAUAACACAGGGAAACUUGUGCUAAUACCGUAUGUGCCCUUCGGGGGAAAGAUUUAUCGCCUUUGGAUGGGCCCGCGUCGGAUUAGCUAGUUGGUGGGGUAAUGGCCUACCAAGGCGACGAUCCGUAGCUGGUCUGAGAGGAUGAUCAGCCACACUGGGACUGAGACACGGCCCAGACUCCUACGGGAGGCAGCAGUGGGGAAUAUUGGACAAUGGGCGCAAGCCUGAUCCAGCCAUGCCGCGUGAGUGAUGAAGGCCUUAGGGUUGUAAAGCUCUUUCAGCUGGGAAGAUAAUGACGGUACCAGCAGAAGAAGCCCCGGCUAACUUCGUGCCAGCAGCCGCGGUAAUACGAAGGGGGCUAGCGUUGUUCGGAAUCACUGGGCGUAAAGCGCACGUA